rnacentral:piRNA from 1 species
UACAGAGGAUUCUUAUUCCCCAGAAAA